GCGGAAGGAUCAUUACUGAAGAAAUGGUAGGGUUGAGCUGGCUUCUCGGAGUAUGUGCUCGCCUUUUACCGCUUUUUCUACUCUCCACUGUGCACCUUUUGUAGGCUAUGAUAACCCUCAGCUCCCUUCUAUAUAGGAGGUGCUGGAUGGAGGACUUGCAAAAUCGCUUGACCUCACCUUCAUAGCCUAUGUCUUACAUACACUCUGUUCAAGUCAUUGAAUGUAAACUUGUUGGUCUUCGUUGACCGAUAAACCUUAUACAACUUUCAGCAACGGAUCUCUUGGCUCUCGCAUCGAUGAAGAACGCAGCGAAAUGCGAUAAGUAAUGUGAAUUGCAGAAUUCAGUGAAUCAUCGAAUCUUUGAACGCACCUUGCACUCCUUGGUAUUCCGAGGAGUAUGCCUGUUUGAGUGUCAUUAACUUCUCAAACCUUUCAAGUUUUUCUUGUAAAGGCUUUGGAUGUGAGGGUUUUGCUGGUAACCUCCUAUGGAAUCAGCUCCCUUGAAAUGCAUUAGUGGUUACUUGAUCCGCUUUCAUAUGGUGUGAUAGUUAUCUACGCCUUUGAAAUGAUCACUCUGCUAUCCGCUUCUAACCGUCUAUCCUUAUAGACAGCUCUUGAACCUUUUGACCUCAAA
rnacentral:rRNA from 1 species